UGACUGACAGGAAGAGUGAAACGAGCUGACUGACAGGAAGAGCGAGGUGAGCUGACUGACAGGAAGAGUAAGGCCAGCUGACUGACAGGAAGAGUGAAACGAGCUGGCUGACAGGAAGAAUGAGGCGAGCUGACUGACAGGAAGAGCGAGGCGAGCUGACUGACAGGAAGAGCGAGGCGAGCUGACUGACAGGAAGAGUGAAACGAGCUGACUGACAGGAAGAGCGAGGCGAGCUGACUGACAGGAAGAGCGAGGCGAGCUGACUGACAGGAAGAGCGAGGCGAGCUGGCUGACAGGAAGAGUGAAACGAGCUGGCUGACAGGAAGAGUGAAACGAGCUGACUGACAGUAAGAGUAAGGUGAGCUAACUGACAGGAAGAGCGAGGCGAGCUGAGCGAGGUGACCAUUCAAGCAAUUGUCGCCCCGAAUUGCCGAAUUCGAAAGCGAAAUUUAAAUGCGCACGAAACGUUUCAAAAGCGAGGGGGGAAAGAAGGAAAAGUGGAAAAAUGCCAAAGCCCCCUUUCACAGCCACUUUCUUCUGGUAAACUCUGCAGAUCUUCUAUUUAUCCAAAAUAUGAGCACACUUCAGAUUUGCUCCUCUUGGAAGGUUGGAAAUUCUCCCGAGCACCGCCACUACCUUCUGCCGUGUUCUCUAACUGACCUAAGUGAUUUUUAUUACUAUAAAAAAGCAAAACGACAGUGGUGGGGGGGUUGCCACGGUGCCGCGGUGCGCAUGUAAUGUAAUCGGCGUGCGGCUGAACACCGUGUGACUCCAGAAACGCCGUCAAUCGCAGUAAGCCUAGUGACAACCAUCCAUCGCUUUAUAGUCAAAUAUAAAACCUGUUUAAAUUAUUUCAGUGUGUAUAUUUUUUUUAUUAUUGUUGUACCAUGAUAAUACUGGUAACUGUGAUAGUUUUGGUCACGAUAAUCGUGAUAUGAUAUUUUCAUACCGUUACCUCAGGUCUAACUGCAGCACAGAUCAGACAGUGAUAGUCCAUGGAUUUGGGUUUAAUCCAAUAAAGCUCUAAUUUAUCUGUAUUGUGAGAAUGAUGUAGGUUUCAGGAUUCAGUUAUAUCAUUCCUGAACCUGGUCCGAACAUAAAUCCAUGAUGUUUAUAGUGUCUGAUGGAGAAGUGAUAAAUCUGGCUGUGACAUUUGUGUAGAGCUAAGAGGAGGAACCCUGGAGGAACCCUGAUCAUCCCCUGAGAUAUGACCUCUGUAUGACCAUUGAUUGACCGUGUACUGAACCUUUGCUAAUGCACUGCCCAGGCAUGUCUUAAACUAGGAACUGUCACUGAGAAUGAAAAUAUAUUUCUGUCAUCGGACACGCCCUGAUGGAUCAUUACGGCGGAUGAGCUGGUGCUGGUGUUCUACUGCGACACUUUCGCAGAUGUAGGUCAUCUUUAUGUGCCUUCAUAAGGCAUUAAUGUUAUAAUUGUUGAUGAAAAUGCAGUACACUUAUAGCUGUGCUUAUUAUGCAUUAUGUAAGGACUAAAACAGUCUGUCAUGCUGUUAUAGGAAAAUCAUCAACAAUAGGGUAGUGUGAUCCAGCAGUUGUGCAGUAUCAUCAUAAUGAACCUUUGUUACAUGAUUCUAAGUUAUUAAGGAAUUACUUACAGCAUGUUAUUAGAGCUUUGCUAGACAUUAUUAGAGUUUAUAAACGAAUGCUUACAAAGAAUUAUAAACAUUGUUCUAUGAUUCCUCCUCCCCUCUUUUAUUUCAUUCUCUUUUGCCCUUUUUUAUCCCUCUAUCUUUAAUCCUCUGAUUACAUUGCCAUAACUGUCUGUGGAUGAUAACUGACACCCACGAGCUCGGCUCCUCCCCCUCCAGCCAUGCGCAAAUCAGAUAGUGGGAGUCUCUCUUGACGGGCAGCUAAUGAAAUUAGCCGCUCAUUCCCCGUGCGCUUUAAUAAGUCACUUGACUCGAUUAGUGGUGCUUGGAGCGGGAUGGGGCACGGGGGGGCGAUGUGGGGAGGAACGGAAGGAGAUACAUCAAUUCAUCUAAAAGUCACCCAGCGGUGCCAAUCAGGGUGUUGAUUGUAAUAAAUAUUCCUUGUCUAUUUGCACAUGUGCUCACCCCCAACCCCCCCACCUCAACCCCACACCACAUGCCGUUUCGAUGCCUCGGGGCAAAAUAUCCAUAAGCCCCAUGCUCAUCCUCAUCACCCUGUCACCUCCGCCCCUUUUCUCUUUCUCUUUCUUUUCCCCUCCCCAGAUCUGAAUCUAGUCGCUGCGCAUUUGCCAAGCGUCAGCCAGACAUUUGGACCGGGUUGGGGGAGAAAAAACAGAGAGUUGUAGGGAAGGGCAUGCCAGCAAUGUGGUGUCAUUAACUUCCCUUGAGUGGCAGCUGUCAGGCUGGCCGAGCUCCACCAUCAUGCUGUUCAGCACUCAGCGUCUCUCCAUCAUCACCUCCUCCUACUCCUCCAGCAACUCCAAAAAAUGGCACAAAGCCUUCGGGUCUCAGCUGCAGGGAGAAUCUCGACUUACGAUACCCCGCUGUUCAGGGCAGCUCUUCUUGGAUCAGUGAGGAGUUAUCCAGGCACGGGCCAAAUCCAUAAACAAUCACAGAUCCCUUCCCAUAGGCCCUUCCUGGAGGGCGCAAAAAGUACAGGCUAAGGGGAGGUAAUCUCUUUGGCUUAGAAGUGAGCGCAGAGCUCUGCUCCAGAUUGGCCACAAGGCUCGAAAAAAGAUAUUGGAUACAAUUUGAUUUUACACUUCCUGGUUGUAAAUCACACAAAAAAUUUACACAUUUUGACCAUCCAAAUCCAUCAGCCAUUACUACUUUUGCAGUGGCGCUACAAGGAAUAGAAAGUUACACCCUACACCGAGGGAAACGAAAUUAUGCAUAGUCGACAAACUGUCCUGGUGGACUCGUGUAGCUGGCUCUCAUCACCGUGGCCCAGGUAAGGGAACCAAUCCCAGUCACUGGAGGGUCACACUUUCAGUGCCGGUCCCAAGCCUAGAAAAUGGGGAGGGUUGCACAGCAGUGCAAGCAGUCUUAAACUUAUGCCAGAAUCAAUAUGUUGGGGGUGUUGGGAACCGGUGAUGAUGGCAGUUGCC
ensembl:lncRNA